CCGUUUUUGUCUUAAGUGAAGGUAAACAUGAGAGAAAUCGCAGUAUUACAGUGUUUUUAGUUCUGCGAGCGUUCGGGGUUAAAGAGACAGCAGUCUAAUAAACGCACUGCCUGUCAUUAACACUAAUCAAAGAACAACAGAAAAUCAUUCACCGAUCUUGACUGAAUAUCUUUAAUAACUUCAUCUGAUUUUGU